CUCUGUCUUUCAGUCCCAUAGCUGUCCUUCUUCUUCUUUGUUGUCAUCGUAUCGUUCCUAUUCAUUCUUCUAGGAUUGGAGAAGGAUGAUGCUUUGAUGGUCGGUCAGUGAUGGAUCGUAGUCUUCUCUGUGGCUACAUCAUCUUCAGGAGGUUUUUUUGGAAGCGUAUAUUAUUUAUGAUCCAGUUAUGGCCUUUCGACUCUGAAUUCUCAACUUGUAAUUCUAGGGGUUUGAUUUCUAAAUUGUUUUUUUUUUUUUAACUUCUCGUCACGUUGAUCCUGAACUUAGUAUUCGCCACUGUAAUUUAUGGAUGUUGUCAAAGGAUCACAACAAUUUUUUCCUGUAGCAACAUGGAUGGGCCUCAAGGAUUGGCAUAUUUGCUCAGGAUUACCAGAGAAAGGCAUUGGUGGAGAUGAUGAUGACUUGCUUAAGCGCAAGACCAUUUAUGGUUUCUGGUGUUUUUGGAAGCGUGUUACAAUCCAAUUGUAGAGGAGGAUACUAUGAUCGAUUGGUGAUUGAGGAGGAGGCUGCUAAAAUCUGUCGGUGAUGGAGCUGGUGAAAAACCAACAGCUUGGCAUAAUGUGAAAGGAUCACAACAAUUGUUCCCUGCAGCAAUAUGGAGGGGUUAACUUUGGUAUGCAUGUUUUUUGGUUGCAUCAACCUCAAAAAUUGUCAAAUACGCUCUAGACUAGCUUGUCAUAAUGUCACAACAAUGCUUCCCUGCAGCAAUAUGGAGGGAUUGUGGAAGAGGAGGAGGAUACUAUGAUCGAUUGGUGAUUGAAGUGGAGGCUGCUAAAAUCUGUCACUGAUGGUGGUGGUGCCAAAACCAACAAUUGUUCCCUGCAGCAAUAUGGAGGGGCCUCAAGGAUUGUCAAAUACGUUCUAUACUAGCUUGUCAUAAUGUCACAACAAUGGUUCCCUGCAGCAAUACAAAGAAAUUGUGGAGGAUAGUGCUAUGAUUGAUUGGUGAUUGAGGAGGAGGCUGCUAAAAUCUGUCGGUGAUGGUUUGAUUCAUCCUUGUCAGUUAUGACUCUCGUUUUCUCUGUUUUAUUUUUGUCCUUUUCCCCCACUUCUUAUUUACUAACACGAAUUUUCAUUUGUGGUCUUCUUUGUUUUUCUCUCAGAAGAGUACAUUAUUUAAUCAUUACAAGUUUACAACUGUUGAUGCUAGUAAAGUAAAAUGUCUUGGGUGGACCAGAACGUGAUGGAAGUGUUACAAUCGUUGAUGCAGUUUCACCUCCUGGAGGAGACUUUUCAGAUCCUGUCACCUCUGCAAGACUGCAACCCUUAGUAUUGUGCAGGUCUUCUGGGGUUUGGACAAAAAGCUAUCCCAGAGAAAACAUUUUCCCUCUAUUAAUUGGUUGAUUUCCUACUCAAAAGCAUUGGGAUCUUUCUGUGAGAAGUUCGAUCCAGAUAUCAUCAACAUCAGGACAAAGUCCAGAGAGUUGUUGCAGAGGGAAGACGAUCUUAAUGAAAUUGUCCAGGAAAUGAUGUGCUAGCAGAAGGUGACAAAAUCAUCUUCGAAACAGAUUGUGGAGGAUGCUUUGCUCGGUCGGUGAUGGUUCUGAUGGACGGUUGUCUUCUCUGCGCUACAUCUUCAGACCGUCCAGGCUCUGGGAUUAAUUUGUGGGAGGGUUCGAAGAGAGAAACAUCAGGUUAACAGUAAUGUCCCUGAUCUUCCUAGUGAGCUAGCAUCUACGUUUCAAGCCUAAUACCCUGUUGUUUGUUAUAUUCAAGGUUCUACAAGAGAUAAGCAUCAGAUUCUAUUGCCUGGAUAGGUUUUGGUAAUUAUUUUGCCGCCCAAGAGGAGGGUGACCAAGCCAUGGCUGCCUAUCUCGCUCUCGCUAGGCUAUUGACAGGGUUGAAUAUUAUCUUUUUCUAGGUGUCAUUGCCAACUUUGUACAUUGGAAAGGAGUAUAUGCGAACUCACAGCUACAAGCUGGCCGACCAGCUUGUGGUUGAUGGUGCCUAUGAUUGGUCGCUGGUUUGCUCUCUCUUUUUUUAAUGAACUUUUGUCGCUCAUUUCCUCCUCUGCGUCGUUAUAGCUGCUUCUUAAUUUCCACUUUGGGUUUCUAAAUUGAAUUUACAAUAUUACUUAAUUGUCGUGUUUUGUUUUGUUGAUUUAAAUUUGUGGACUAUGCUCUGAUUGAUCGGUGAUGACUUUGAUUGAUCAUUGUCACCCUAAUUCAUGUUAUUCUUCUAUUCUAGGGUUUGGUUUCUAAAUUGCAUCGGUGCUUUUUCUUUCUUUAAUAUAUAUGUUCAUUCGAUUUUACUUGUCCUUCUGUUAUUUCAGAUUUUGGAUGAAUCAGUGAUGGCUUUGAUAAAGACUCUUCUCCUGGGCUACAUCUUCAGCUAGUGUUCUUCCGCUUCUACUUGCUUGUUUUUUCUUGCUAGGGUUUCGUUUCUAAAUUGCAUCGGUUGCUUUAUAUAUGUUCAUGCUAAUUACUUGUCUCUUCCCUUAUGUUUUUUUCAGGUUUUGGAUGAUGCCUUUUAUCGAUCAGUUAUGGCUCUAAAUGAACACUCCUUUUCUCUGUGCUAACAUCUUCUCCAUGAUACGUCUUCAGGCCACAGGGUUUGGAUGAUGCUUUUAUCACUCACUGAUGGCUUUCACUGAUCGUCCUCAAGCGUUCUCAUGGGUUAAACUAUGGCUUGGAGACAACGCAGCAGAUCACUACUACUAUGUUCUCUCUCCGUUCCUAUUUUGCAGAAUGCCAACUGUUACUAAGAUCCCAAAUCAUGAGAGGCUAUGAAGAUUUCUCUUGAGCUCCAGAAGCUUCUUAUCGACAACAGUCUUCCUAAUAUGUCACCGUCUCAUUUUGGAAACCAAUUAUUUGUUUUAAGCUUGCUUAUGGACCGACGUGGUUAUAUAUGGGGAAGAGUACAUUAUAGCCUGACGUGGUUAUAUAUGGGAAAGAUAUAUCCAAACAUGUCGAGGUCCCAUUCGAGUUUGGACUUGCUCCCCUUACAUGAGCACUGGUAACCAAGAUUCCCAAGUUUCUACAAAAUACCAUCUUCCUGCCAUUGUGGAGCAUCUUGGGAAUAUAGCAUACUUUGGUCAUUACUCCUCUUAUCUGAGGUCAGCUCCUGAGACAUGGCAUAAGUUUGAUGACGCCCAAGGUGAUUGCUGGGCUGAAAUUGCUCGUGACAACAAGGAAGUUUUGCUGUGGAAACAAUAAGAGUUUAAAUCAAGGGCAUGAAUUGGGCUACACAAGAAUUGGCUACACUCGCGCAACUCACGUUUUGUGCGGCCUUGUGAUUGGCUGAAAAAAACAAAAUAGUAGCUCCCCUCCUCCUCCGAUGAUACCAUAUCUACUUGUUUUCGACUUCUUUCUUCGUCUCUUGCUUAAAGUUGAUAAAAAAAGGGCUUAGUGAUUCCUGUAGUAAGGCUAUGAUAUGAUGAAAAGAUGAGAGACGACCCUUUUGCUUCCUGUCUCAUCGAGCAGAGCUUGAAACUAGUAAGUAGUAGUAGUUUCAGUACUAGAGCAGAGCUUCUCAAGUAAAUGUUUCUUCUGGCUCUAAUAGACCACUCAACACUAGAUUUGGCAGACCCUUAUGCAAUCAUUCAUGAAGUCUUCGGCCUGAGCUCUUCAUUUUCAUUCGGGUUUCAAUCAAGCUACCGGGAAAGAAAGAGAUCUGCUGCAACGCUUUGUUUCUUUCAAGUUCAAGGAUGAUGUUUAACCAAGGAUACUAGUGUUUAAGGUCUAUGGGAAGAACUCAUAAAUCUUUUUUUUCUUUCUAAACACUAGUCCACAAGAGAUUCAGAAUAACACUUCCGAUACAAAUAAUUUUUACAUGAUUAAAGAUAAUUUGUUUUAUAAAAGAGUAGGAAUUGAAAGACUUAUAUAUCA